rnacentral:rRNA from 1 species
UACGGAGGAUGCAAGCGUUAUCCGGAAUGAUUGGGCGUAAAGCGUCCGCAGGUGGCAGUUCAAGUCUGCUGUCAAAGACCGGGGCUUAACUUCGGAAAGGCAGUGGAAACUGAACAGCUAGAGUAUGGUAGGGGCAGAGGGAAUUCCCGGUGUAGCGGUGAAAUGCGUAGAUAUCGGGAAGAACACCAGUGGCGAAAGCGCUCUACUGGGCCAUAACUGACACUCAGGGACGAAAGCUAGGGGAGCGAAUGGG